GACGAACGCUGGCGGCGCGCUUAACACAUGCAAGUCGAGCGAGAACCAGGGCUUCGGCCCUGGGGACAGCGGCGAACGGGUGAGUAACACGUGGGUAAUCUGCCCUCGGCGCCGGGAUAGCCCGGGGAAACCCGGAUUAAUACCGGAUGUCCCCUCAGCCCCCCGGGGCGGUGGGAAAAGGUAGCUUCGGCCUCCGGCCGAGGAGGAGCCCGCGGCCGAUUAGCUUGUUGGCGGGGUAACGGCCCACCAAGGCGACGAUCGGUAGCUGGUGUGAGAGCAUGAUCAGCCACCCUGGGACUGAGACGCGGCCCAGACUCCUACGGGAGGCAGCAGUGGGGAAUCUUGCGCAAUGGGCGAAAGCCUGACGCAGCGACGCCGCGUGCGGGAAGAAGGCCUUCGGGUUGUAAACCGCUUUCAGGAGGGACGAAGCCACUCGGGUUAAUAGCCCAGAGGGUGACGGUACCUCCAGAAGAAGCCCCGGCUAACUACGUGCCAGCCGCCGCCGUAAAAC
rnacentral:rRNA from 1 species